CAAUAGCGUAUAUUAAAGUUGUUGCGGUUAAAAAGCUCGUAGUUGGAUUUCUGCCGAGGACGACCGGUCCGCCCUCUGGGUGAGUAUCUGGUUCGGCCUGGGCAUCUUCUUGGAGAACGUAUCUGCACUUGACUGUGUGGUGCGGUAUCCAGGACUUUUACUUUGAGGAAAUUAGAGUGUUUCAAGCAGGCACACGCCUUGAAUACAUUAGCAUGGAAUAAUAAGAUAAGACUUUGGCGGUCUAUUUUGUUUGGUUUGUCACGCCAUUGUAAUGAUUGAUAGGGACGAUUGGGGGUAGUUCAUAUUUAAUUGUCAGAGGUGAAAUUCUUGGAUUUAUGAAAGAUGAACUACUGCGAAAGCAUUUACCAAGGAUGUUUUCAUUAAUCAAGAACGAAAGUUAGGGGAUCGAAGACGAUUAGAUACCAU
rnacentral:rRNA from 1 species